UGGGCAGGGGGGUCUUCGUCCUUCCGGCGAAGCCUGUCCAGCAAGGUUGUGCGUGAUGCGUGUCAGGCGCGACCCAGUGGUUGUCGCUCGGGGGUGAUCGCCG
rnacentral:sRNA from 1 species